rnacentral:rRNA from 1 species
CGGGACGGGUGAGUAAUGUAUGGGGAUCUGCCUGAUGGCGGGGGAUAACUACUGGAAACGGUAGCUAAUACCGCAUAACGUCGCAAGACCAAAGAGGGGGACCUUCGGGCCUCUUGCCAUCGGAUGUGCCCAGAUGGGAUUAGCUAGUAGGCGGGGUAACGGCUCACCUAGGCGACGAUCCCUAGCUGGUCUGAGAGGAUGACCAGUCACACUGGAACUGAGACACGGUCCAG